rnacentral:tRNA from 1 species
GGCCUCAUCGUCUAAUGGCUAGGACACUGCCCUUUCAAGGCGGUAAUACGAGUUCGAUCCUCGUUGAGGCUA